rnacentral:rRNA from 1 species
UAACGAAUCUUCCGCAAUGCACGAAAGUGUGACGGAGCGACGCCGCGUGUGGGACGAAGUCCUUCGGGAUGUAAACCACUGUCAGGGGUAAGAAAGUUCUGAUCUACCCCAGAGGAAGGCACGGCUAACUCUGUGCCAGCAGCCGCGGUAAGACAGAGGUGCCGAGCGUUAGGCGGAAUCACUGGGCUUAAAGCGUGUGUAGGCGGACUUCUAAGUACCUUGUGAAAUCCCACGGCUCAACCGUGGAACUGCUUGGUAUACUGGUUGUCUUGAGCCACUUAGGGGCAGUCGGAACAGACGGUGGAGCGGUGAAAUGCGUAGAUAUCGUCUGGAACGCCAACGGUGAAAACAGACUGCUGGGAGUGUGCUGACGCUGAGACACGAAAGCCAGGGGAGCAAACGGG